GUACUCAAAGGGUGAAUUACUAUCUGCCACAGAAUAGGCCUUGAAGAUCAAGUCUGUGCAUUUGAAGAAUCAUUUGGCUUUCAAAGUCCACAAGCUCUAUGGAGUAUGGAAAGAUAUAAUUUGGUUUAAUUACAAAGGCUGUUUAUUACAAUUGGAGAUUUUGUAAUGCAUACUGCAACUUCAAAGUUUUGAUUUGUUCUCUUUGAUGUAGUUGACAAUGGUUGAUGAUUAGUUUUCCCGACUUUAUGGGAAAUCAAGUUUCAUGUGCCCAUGUGAAUUCGUUUAUAAGUUCCAGGUUUUCUUAA
rnacentral:lncRNA from 1 species